GUUAUUUUAAUUGAAUGUGUCUAAACUUCAGGCUGUGGAAAAAACUAAAGCAGGAAAACAAGAAGCAGUUGUUUAUUUUUUAAUUUUACAUUUGAGUCAUUUAUAGUGAAUUACAGUCCCAGCUAGGUGGUGGGACAACCACAUACAGCAUCUCAGUCCCAGCUAGGUGGUGGGACAACCACAUACAGCAUCUCAGUCCCAGCUAGGUGGUGGGACAACCACAUACAGCAUCUCAGUCCCAGCUAGGUGGUGGGACAACCACAUACAGCAUCUCAGUCCCAGCUAGGUGGUGGGACAACCACAUACAGCAUCUCAGUCCCAGCUAGGUGGUGGGACAACCACAUACAGCAUCUCAGUCCCAGCUAGGUGGUGGGACAACCACAUACAGCAUCUCAGUCCCAGCUAGGUGGUGGGACAACCACAUACAGUAUCUCAGUCCCAGCUAGGUGGUGGGACAACCACAUACAGCAUCUCAGUCCCAGCUAGGUGGUGGGACAACCACAUACAGUAUCUCAGUCCCAGCUAGGUGGUGGGACAACCACAUACAGUAUCUCAGUCCCAGCUAGGUGGUGGGACAACCACAUACAGUAUCUCAGUAAUAGUUAGCUACUUUAUUCCGGAAAAAUGUACUAACUAUCAGCAAAGUCUGUGGUAGUAAUAUAAGUGUGGGUGUUGGACCUCCGUAAGGGAUAGGGCUAUAUGACGUGCUGUGGAUAAUUCUCUGAGUAGUUGGAGACAU